rnacentral:rRNA from 1 species
GUCUUUUUGAUAAUAAUUUAAAGUUUAAUCUGCCCACUGAUAUAAAUUAAAGGGCUGCAGUAUUUUGACUGUACAAAGGUAGCAUAAUCAAUAGUUUUUUAAUUGAAAACUUGUAUGAAAGAUUUAAUGAAAUAAUAACUGUCUUUAAAUUAUAAAUAAAAUUUUAUUUUUUAGUGAAAAAGCUAAAAUAUAUUUAAAAGACGAGAAGACCCUAUAGAGUUUUAUAUUUAUUAUAUUUAAAAUUUUAUAUAAAAUUUAAUAUUAAAAGUAAAAUAAAUAUUAUAUUGGGGUGAUAGAAAAAUUUAAAAAACUUUUUAUAAAAUAUAAACAAAUAUAAUUGAGUGAAUGAUCCACAAAUAGUGAUUAUAAGAAAAAAUUACCUUAGGGAUAACAGCGUAAUAUUUUUUUUUAGAUCAAAUAAAAAAAAAAGUUUGCGACCUCGAUGUUGGAUUAAGAUAAAAUUUAAACGCAAAAGUUUAAAAUUUUGAUCUGUUCGAUCAUUAAAAUCUU